GAUGAACGCUGGCGGCGUGCCUAAUACAUGCAAGUCGAGCGAACAGACGAGGAGCUUGCUCCUCUGACGUUAGCGGCGGACGGGUGAGUAACACGUGGAUAACCUACCUAUAAGACGGGGAUAACUUCGGGAAACCGGAGCUAAUACCGGAUAACAUGUUGAACCGCAUGGUUUAACAGUGAAAGACGGUCUUGCUGUCACUUAUAGAUGGAUCCGCGCCGCAUUAGCUAGUUGGUAAGGUAACGGCUUACCAAGGCAACGAUGCGUAGCCGACCUGAGAGGGUGAUCGGCCACACUGGAACUGAGACACGGUCCAGACUCCUACGGGAGGCAGCAGUAGGGAAUCUUCCGCAAUGGGCGAAAGCCUGACGGAGCAACGCCGCGUGAGUGAAGAAGGUCUUCGGAUCGUAAAACUCUGUUAUUAGGGAAGAACAAAUGUGUAAGUAACUAUGCACGUCUUGACGGUACCUAAUCAGAAAGCCACGGCUAACUACGUG
rnacentral:rRNA from 1 species